rnacentral:rRNA from 1 species
GACGAACGCUGGCGGCGUGCCUAACACAUGCAAGUAGAACGCUGAAGAGAGGAGCUUGCUCUUCUUGGAUGAGUUGCGAACGGGUGAGUAACGCGUAGGUAACCUGCCUUGUAGCGGGGGAUAACUAUUGGAAACGAUAGCUAAUACCGCAUAACAAUGGAUGACACAUGUCAUUUAUUUGAAAGGGGCAAUUGCUCCACUACAAGAUGGACCUGCGUUGUAUUAGCUAGUAGGUGAGGUAAUGGCUCACCUAGGCGACGAUACAUAGCCGACCUGAGAGGGUGAUCGGCCACACUGGGACUGAGACACGGCCCAGACUCCUACGGGAGGCAGCAGUAGGGAAUCUUCGGCAAUGGGGGCAACCCUGACCGAGCAACGCCGCGUGAGUGAAGAAGGUUUUCGGAUCGUAAAGCUCUGUUGUAAGUCAAGAACGGGUGUGAGAGUGGAAAGUUCACACUGUGACGGUAGCUUACCAGAAAGGGACGGCUAACUACGUG